AUACUCUGGUUUCUCUUCAAAUCGUAUAAAUCUUUCGCCUUUUACUAAAGAUUUCCGUGGAGAGGAACAAACCUGAGUUUUUAACCAAUUUUUUGAGGCCUUGCUUAAUGCAAGGCU
rnacentral:snRNA from 2 species